rnacentral:rRNA from 1 species
GGUAGCGGCGAGCGAACGGGGAGGAGCCCAGAGCCUGAAUCAGCAUGUGUGUUAGUGGAAGCGUCUGGAAAGGCGCGCGAUACAGGGUGACAGCCCCGUACACAAAAGCGCAUGUGCUGUGAGCUCGAUGAGUAGGGCGGGACACGUGGUAUCCUGUCUGAAUAUGGGGGGACCAUCCUCCAAGGCUAAAUACUCCUGACUGACCGAUAGUGAACCAGUACCGUGAGGGAAAGGCGAAAAGAACCCCGGCKAGGGGAGUGAAAAAGAACCUGAAACCGUGUACGUACAAGCAGUGGGAGCACAGGUUUACCUGUGUGACUGCGUACCUUUUGUAUAAUGGGUCAGCGACUUAUAUUCUGUAGCAAGGUUAACCGAAUAGGGGAGCCGGAGGGAAACCGAGUCUUAACCGGGCGUUAAGUUGCAGGGUAUAGACCCGAAACCCGGUGAUCUAGCCAUGGGCAGGUUGAAGGUUGGGUAACACUAACUGGAGGACCGAACCGACUAAUGUUGAAAAAUUAGCGGAUGACCUGUGGCUGGGGGUGAAA